rnacentral:rRNA from 1 species
AUCUAUGGUCACACUACCCUGAAAAACCUGAUAUCUAAUCUUGGAAGCUAAGCAAGGUCAGGCCUGGUUAGUACUUGGAUGGAAAACAACCUUGGGAUAUUGGAUACUAUAGGCU